rfam:Ovis aries breed Texel chromosome 4, whole genome shotgun sequence.
UCCCUGAUAGCUCAAUUGAUAAAGAAUCUGCCUGCAAUGCAGGCGACCCCGGUUCAAUUCCUGGGCCGGGAA